UAUCUUCGACGCUUUUCCA
rnacentral:misc_RNA from 1 species